UGGGGAAUUUUGGACAAUGGGCGCAAGCCUGAUCCAGCCAUGCCGCGUGCGGGAAGAAGGCCUUCGGGUUGUAAACCGCUUUUGUCAGGGAAGAAAUCUUCUGAGUUAAUACCUCGGGAGGAUGACGGUACCUGAAGAAUAAGCACCGGCUAACUACGUGCCAGCAGCCGCGGUAAUACGUAGGGUGCAAGCGUUAAUCGGAAUUACUGGGCGUAAAGCGUGCGCAGGCGGUUUUGUAAGACAGAGGUGAAAUCCCCGGGCUCAACCUGGGAACUGCCUUUGUGACUGCAAGGCUUGAGUGCGGCAGAGGGGGAUGGAAUUCCGCGUGUAGCAGUGAAAUGCGUAGAUAUGCGGAGGAACACCGAUGGCGAAGGCAAUCCCCUGGGCCUGCACUGACGCUCAUGCACGAAAGCGUGGGGAGCAAACAGGAUUAGAUACCCUGGUAGUCCACGCCCUAAAACGAUGUCAACUGGUUGUUGGGAAGGUUCCUUCUCAGUAACGUAGCUAACGCGUGAAGUUGACCGCCUGGGGAGUACGGCCGCAAGGUUGAAACUUAAAUGAAUUGACGGGGUCAUAGCUG
rnacentral:rRNA from 1 species